GAUUUUCUUCAGGGCAGGGUGUAAUUCCCGACCGGCGGUAUAGUCCGCGAGCGAAUAGAUAUUUGCUGACAUGGUGUAAUUCCAUGACCGACAGUAUAGUCUGGAAGGAAGAAGAAAAAC
rnacentral:ncRNA from 2 species